AGAUUUAUAGUGUUAUAGUGAAUCUUCAUCCAUCUCUCAUUCUCUCUCCUCCAUAUUAAACCAUAAGUUUCUUGAACUAGCUAGCUUCAUCAAAGAACUUCCUCCAGCUAGCAGGCAAGGGAUCGGAGAUGACCUCGUACCAAUCGAAAACCACAACAACUUCAGAUUUCGACGAGAAAGGAUGGGUCGGCCAUAUCAACCGGACCCUCCGUGAAGAGCUCCAAGAAGAGCUGGAAUUCAGCGUCCUCGUCUUCACCGUCCCCAAAUCUCUAAUGGCGUGCGACCCCGACUCCUACGUCCCGCAGCAAGUCUCCAUGGGGCCUUACCACUUCCUAAACCACGACGUUCUCGAGAUGGAGAAGUACAAAAUCGACGCCGCGAAGAUCUUCCAGAAACAGAUAAAAUCGCCCCUCAUCACCUUCGACCACCUCGUCGACCAAAUCAAAGCCGUCGAGUCCAAGCUCAGGGUUUCCUACGACAAGCCCCUGAAGCUUGGGUGCGAUACUUUAGCCUUGAUGCUGGCCAUAGACACCGCGUUCUUGCUCGAGUUCCUUAAGAUUUACGCCGUCAAAGAAGGCCGCCUUGUCGGCGCCGCCAUUUCUUCGAAGAUGUCCCAUUUGGUCGAUCUCCAAGGGAAGAAAUCGUCCCAUAACGCUCUGCUCCGAGACUUUUUAAUGCUGGAGAAUCAAAUCCCACUUUUCAUCCUCAGAACAAUGUUGCAGUCGCAAUUCUCCUCCCCGGAGGUCUCCGACGAAACGCUCCUCGCCAUGCUAAUGGGGCUCUCCAAAGACGUUUCGCCCUUCAAGACAUCCAAAAUCGCCAUCAAAACGUACCAAUUGGAUGGUUUUGCCCAUUUGCUCGACUAUUUGUUCCGAGCAAUCGUGCCGGAGAUGGAGGGAGAGCACGCCGGCGGCGAGGAAAUAAUAAUACAGCAAGAAGAAGACGAGGACGACAAAGCCGCAACUUUCGAGCAUUCAAGCCAUGUCAAGGAAGCCUUUGGGAAGGUUUGGGGGAUGAUUCGAAAAGUAAACGUUUUCAAGAAACUAACAUCUUCUCGCUCAAUUAAAGCCUUGACGAAAAUGCCCUUGGACCUCGUCUCCAAGGUUCCAGGGGUGGACAAGCUCAAAGACACAGUCGAAAAGCUCUUCUUUUCCGGGGAAGAAAAAGACGAAGAAAACCCAGACGAUUCCAAUCCCGAUUCCGACAAAGCCCCGUUAAUAGAAGAAAUCACAAUCCCCUCAGUAACCCAGCUAGCCAGAGCGGGCAUAAAUUUCGUCCCAUCUAACAACGGCAUCUCCAGCCUCUCAUUCGACUCAAAAACAGCAACGUUAUCCCUCCCCGUAGUCUGUCUCGACAUAAACUCCGAGGUUGUUCUGAGGAACCUAGUAGCCUACGAGGCCUGCCGGGCGAAAGGGCCGUUGGUUCUCGCCCGGUACACGGAGUUCAUGAACGGGAUUGUGGACACUGAAGAAGACGCGAUGGUUCUGAUAAGUAAAGGGGUUAUUGUGAGCCAACUGAAGAGCCAAGCGGAAGUGGCGGGGUUGUGGAACGGGAUGGAUAGAUCCGUGAGGUUAACGAAGGUGCAGUUCUUGGAUGAGGUGAUUGAGGAAGUGAAUGAGUAUUAUAGUCAGAGGUGGAAAGUGAAGGCCAUCAAAUUCGCGAGGGCGUAUAUAUUUGGUUCCUGGAAGUUUUUGACUUUCAUGGCCACAAUCAUGCUUCUGUCCAUGGUGGCAUUGCAGGCGUUUUGCUCAGUGUAUACUUGCAGCCGUUGGUUUACUGAUAUUGUUCUCGAGGAUGAGGCCGGUAAAAAUUGACCCUUUUUUGCCUAGAAUUGGUCAAUGAAAUUCUCAUCUAUUCUUCUUUAUCAAUUCAAAUCAAGAAGGCUAAGAUUCAAACUCGUGAUCUUACGAUUACAAGUUUAUAUCAAUGUAUCCUUAGUCAUUUUGGCUGAGAUUAUACUGAUUUUAGCUCUUUAUAUUUCUGCUGCAAACUGUUAUUCUAUCCCUUUUGUUGUAAGCUUUAAGCCUUUUGUGGCUAGCAGGUUUCUGAUGACGUUACUGUAUUUUUCUUGGCUGCCCAAGACUGUGUUGUACUAAGUUACCAUAUAGAUAUGUUGUCUCAUGUGUUUAAUA